UCUACUCACAGUUUUCUGAAUGGAAAUCAGGAACAAACUGCUCAUCACUAUCUGGUACCUGAGCUGCAGAGAGAGGUCAGAGGGUCUGGCUCAGAAUAAACACUCAACGCAUUACUUGUUGGCUCUGUGAAUACACAAACGAUGACCCCUGUCCUCAGACUUGUGGGAGCCAGCAUGGUGGGCCUGAGGGCAAGAAGUGAAGCGAUCCUGACCAGCCAGCUCUUCCCUCACCCUGAAGGCACCCCCUCCCUCUCCACCACCAGCCCCACCAGCGACACCCUCAGGCUCCACCAAAACACACCAAUGAAUCCAACCAGAAGACCCCCCCCCCAGAACACACUUCUCCACGGAGCCAAGGCCGAGCUACUGACCCCACCCCAGCCAGCUUGCAGCUACAGCUAACCUCACGCAAACAAGAGGGGGAAUAUGCCUGGGGUGGAGGAAUUCAGGAGGAAAGGAGGGAUCAGUUCCAUCAGAAUUACAAUCAAGACUAUUGGGGUGUAGGGGGGGCCCUAA